rnacentral:rRNA from 1 species
GACGAACGCUGGCGGCGUGCUUAACACAUGCAAGUCGAACGGAAAGGCCCUGCUUGCAGGGUACUCGCGUGGCGAACGGGUGAGUAACACGUGGGUGAUCUGCCCUGCACUUCGGGAUAAGCCUGGGGAACUGGGUCUAAUACCGGAUAGGAGCCCUUUUUAGUGUGAUGGUUGGAAAGUUUUUUGGGUGUAGGAUGAGCUCGCGGCCUAUCAGCUUGUUGGUGGGGUAAUGGCCUACCAAGGCGGCGACGGGUAGCCGGCCUGGGAGGGUGGACGGCCACAUUGGGACUGAGAUACGGCCCAGACUCCUACGGGAGGCAGCAGGGGGGAAUAUUGCACAAUGGGCGCGAGCCUGAUGCAGCGACGCCGCGGGGGGGAUGACGGCCUUCGGGGUGGAAACUCCUUUCGCUAGGGACGAAGCUUUUUGUGACGGUACCUAGAUAAGAAGCACCGGCUAACUACGUG